AAAACAUAACGAAGAUAAUUAAUUGAGAUGAAAGGUGUGGGAUUGUCCAAUACGCGGGUCCCGGAAGCAUCAACACAUCUGAAUAACUACUCUACAGCAUUUCAGCCCUGGCUUUUGUCAUGCAGUACGGCCGGCACGAAUUGCAGUGUUGCUGGAAUUGCUUCCUUUUAGGUUGAAUACGGUCUUUUCGCGGGGGCGAAAUAGCGAGAACUAACAUGGAUAACAGCUGAUGAUUCGACGUCUUACUCAGCCUUUAGCCAGUGGCCACGCGAUGCUUGCAUUUUCCCCCUCGUUCAUUCGACUGCAUCAUAACAGGGCUGUACAUCUUAUUUACGAAGA
rnacentral:lncRNA from 1 species